rnacentral:rRNA from 1 species
AGAGUUUGAUCCUGGCUCGGAUUGAACGCUGGCGUUAGUCCUAACACAUGCAAGUCGUAACGCAGCAGACCGUGACAAUCCCUUCGGGGUGCGUUUGGUGCUGGCGAGUGGCGGACGGGUGAGUAACACGUAGGAAUCUGCCCAACAGUGGGGGACAACCCGGGGAAACUCGGGCUAAUACCGCAUACGCCCUACGGGGGAAAGCGGGGGACUUUCGGGCCUCGCGCCGAUGGAUGAGCCUGCGUCGGAUUAGCUUGUUGGUGAGGUAACGGCUCACCAAGGCGACGAUCCGUAGCUGGUCUGAGAGGAUGAUCAGCCACACUGGGACUGAGACACGGCCCAGACUCCUACGGGAGGCAGCAGUGGGGAAUAUUGCACAAUGGGCGAAAGCCUGAUGCAGCCAUACCGCGUGGGUGAAGAAGGCCUUAGGGUUGUAAAGCCCUUUCAGUUGGGAAGAAAAGCUCGGGGAUAAUACCCUCGGUUCUUGACGGUACCUACAAAAGAAGCACCGGCUAACUCAGUGCCAGCGGCCGCGGUAAUACUGAGGGUGCAAGCGUUAAUCGGAAUUACUGGGCGUAAAGCGCGCGUAGGCGGUCUGGUCAGUCAGAUGUGUAAGCCCCGGGCUUAACCUGGGAACUGCAUUUGAAACUGCCAGACUAGAGUGUGGUAGAGGGAAGUGGAAUUC